UGCAAGUCGAACGCGAAAGUCCCCUUCGGGGGACAAGUAGAGUGGCGCACGGGUGAGUAACACGUAGGUAAUCUACCUUCGGAUGGGGAAUAACAACCGGAAACGGUUGCUAAUACCGCAUAAUGCAGCGGCACCUAAUGGUGACAGUUGUUAAAGCGGGGGAUCGAAAGACCUCGCGUCUGAAGAGGAGCCUGCGGCGGAUUAGCUAGUUGGUAAGGUAACGGCUUACCAAGGCUUCGAUCCGUAGCCGGCCUGAGAGGGCGGUCGGCCACACUGACACUGACAUACGGGUCAGACUCCUACGGGAGGCAGCAGUCGGGAAUUUUGGGCAAUGGGCGAAAGCCUGACCCAGCAACGCCGCGUGAAGGAUGAAAUCCCUCGGGAUGUAAACUUCGCAAGAACGGGAAGAAUAAGUAGGGGACAAUACCCCCUAUGAUGACGGUACCGUUUGUAAGCUCCGGCUAACUCCGUGCCAGCAGCCGCGGUAAUACGGGGGGAGCAAGCGUUGUUCGGAUUUACUGGGCGUAAAGGGCGCGUAGGCGGCCUCCGCAAGUCAAUUGUGAAAUCUCCGGGCUUAACUCGGAAAGGUCAACUGAUACUGCGGGGCUAGAGUGCGGAAGGGGCAACUGGAAUUCUUGGUGUAGCGGUGAAAUGCGUAGAUAUCAAGAGGAACACCUGCGGCGAAGGCGGGUUGCUGGGCCGACACUGACGCUGAGGCGCGAAAGCUAGGGGAGCGAACGGGAUUAGAUACCCCGGUAGUCCUAGCCUUAAACGAUGAAUGCUUGGUGUCU
rnacentral:rRNA from 1 species